rnacentral:rRNA from 1 species
GAUGAACGCUAGCGGCAGGCCUAAUACAUGCAAGCCGAACGGCAAGUUUGAUAGCAAUAUUGGACCUAGAGUGGCGCAAGGGUGCGUAACACGUAUGCAACCUGCCCGCGACAGGAGGAUAGCUCCCCGAAAGGGGAAUUAACCCUCCAUAACACCAUGAGAAGGCAUCUGAUUAUGGUUAAACCGCAAGGGGUCGCGGAUGGGCAUGCGGUUGAUUAGCUAGUUGGCGGGGUAAAGGCCCACCAAGGCGGGGAUCAAUAGGGGUUCUGAGAGGAAGGUCCCCGACACUGGCACUGGGAUACGGGCCAGACUCCUACGGGAGGCAGCAGAAGGGAAUAUUGGACAAUGGUUGCAAGACUGAUCCAGCCAGGCCGCGUGCAGGAAGAAGGCCUUCUGGGUCGUAAACUGCUUCUUCCUGUGGAUAAAAUACCCGUGCGCGGGGAAUUGAAGGUAACAGGGGAAUAAGCCACGGCUAACUACGUG